AACGCUAGCUACAGGCUUAACACAUGCAAGUCGAGGGGAAACGACAUCGAAAGCUUGCUUUUGAUGGGCGUCGACCGGCGCACGGGUGAGUAACGCGUAUCCAACCUGCCCACCACUUGGGGAUAACCUUGCGAAAGUAAGACUAAUACCCAAUGAUAUCUCUAGAAGACAUCUGAAAGAGAUUAAAGAUUUAUCGGUGAUGGAUGGGGAUGCGUCUGAUUAGCUUGUUGGCGGGGUAACGGCCCACCAAGGCGACGAUCAGUAGGGGUUCUGAGAGGAAGGUCCCCCACAUUGGAACUGAGACACGGUCCAAACUCCUACGGGAGGCAGCAGUGAGGAAUAUUGGUCAAUGGGCGAGAGCCUGAACCAGCCAAGUAGCGUGCAGGAUGACGGCCCUAUGGGUUGUAAACUGCUUUUAUAAGGGAAUAAAGUUAGUCUCGUGAGACUUUUUGCAUGUACCUUAUGAAUAAGGACCGGCUAAUUCCGUGCCAGCAGCCGCGGUAAUACGGAAGGUCCGGGCGUUAUCCGGAUUUAUUGGGUUUAUAGGGAGCGUAGGCCGGAGAUUAAGCGUGUUGUGAAAUGUAGGCGCUCAACGUCUGCACUGCAGCGCGAACUGGUUUCCUUGAGUACGCACAAAGUGGGCGGAAUUCGUGGUGUAGCGGUGAAAUGCUUAGAUAUCACGAAGAACUCCGAUUG
rnacentral:rRNA from 1 species